rnacentral:rRNA from 1 species
GACGAACGCUGGCGGCGUGCUUAACACAUGCAAGUCGAACGGAAAGGCCCUGCUUUUGUGGGGUGCUCGAGUGGCGAACGGGUGAGUAACACGUGAGUAACCUGCCCUUGACUUUGGGAUAACUUCAGGAAACUGGGGCUAAUACCGGAUAGGAGCUCCUGCUGCAUGGUGGGGGUUGGAAAGUUUCGGCGGUUGGAUGGACUCGCGGCUUAUCAGCUUGUUGGUGGGGUAGUGGCUUACCAAGGCUUUGACGGGUAGCCGGCCUGAGAGGGUGACCGGCCACAUUGGGACUGAGGUACCGCCCAGACUCCUACGGGAGGCAGCAGUGGGGAAUAUUGCACAAUGGGCGGAAGCCUGAUGCAGCAACGCCGCGUGCGGGAUGACGGCCUUCGGGUUGUAAACCGCUUUCGCCUGUGACGAAGCGUGAGUGACGGUAAUGGGUAAAGAAGCACCGGCUAACUACGUG